GUACGGGAGGCAGCAGUGGGGAAUUUUCCGCAAUGGGCGAAAGCCUGACGGAGCAAUACCGCGUGAGGGAGGAAGGCUCUUGGGUUGUAAACCUCUUUUCUCAAGGAAUAACAAAAUGAAGGUACUUGAGGAAUCAGCAUCGGCUAACUCCGUGCCAGCAGCCGCGGUAAUACGGAGGAUGCAAGCGUUAUCCGGAAUGAUUGGGCGUAAAGCGUCCGCAGGUGGCUAUGUAAGUCUGCUGUUAAAGAGUGAGGCUUAACCUCAUAAAAGCAGUGGAAACUACAUAGCUAGAGUGCGUUCGGGGCAGAGGGAAUUCCUGGUGUAGCGGUGAAAUGCGUAGAGAUCAGGAAGAACACCGGUGGCGAAGGCGCUCUGCUAGGCCGCAACUGACACUGAGGGACGAAAGCUAGGGGAGCGAAUGGGAUUAGAUACCCCAGUAC
rnacentral:rRNA from 1 species